rnacentral:tRNA from 1 species
ACGUCGGUGGUUCAGUGGUAGAAUACUCGCCUGCCACGCGGGUGGCCCGGGUUCGAUUCCCGGCCGACGCA